UGCUGAGCAGAAGUGUGCAAGUAGGAAUGCUGACCUGGUGAUGGCUUUUCUUUGUAAAAUUCACCCAAAGAAGGGGAAAUUCCUGGUAGCUAAAGCCCAGGAGAUGGGGCUGCCAGUGGGAACUCCAGCCAUCCUUCCCAUAAUUACAGCUCUCAGAAGCAGGCAGAGCUGCACUGGGGCAGGCACAGGAACACACACAGCUGGGCAGUCCCUUCCUCUCCUUGGCUGCCAGGCCCGGGCUGGACACAGCCCUGAGGCCCCUGGUCUGACCUCCAGCAGCAGGUUGGACCUCUCAAGGCCCCCUCCAAGCCCCAGUCCCCCUGUGAUUCCCCAGGCCUACCAUUCCCUGCUGCUCCUCUCCCACAGGAGCCUGUUCAGGGCCUGUGUACAAACACCAGGCUGCAGCUCUGUUUAUUUUCCAGCUCUCCAAACGCAGUGUGAGCUCUCGGGCUUUCUGUUUGCUUCAAAAAGAGCCACUCAUGUUACUGUAACCAGAGUACCCCAACAUAAACAGUACUGACCAUCAAUAUCCCUUGUCUUCCUGAGUUCCAAAGGCAAACCUUAUCUUUCCCAGUGUUUUGCUUUCCAAACACUGUCUCCCUUUAUUCCUAGUGCCAAUGUUCUUCCCUUUGUCUUCCAGUGAUCCAAACAGCCUUUUGAGUGAGGACCUCUCUAGACCUCCAGAUCUUGCCAUGGCUGUUUACAGCUGUUCUGUUAGACUUCCUUCAGACCUAUAAAUCUAACAUUUAUCCUUCUGAUUCCCAUCUCUUCACACAACAGCUCAAAGUAGCACAGUAGUUUUCCCUGGGUAUUCCCACUUCUGAGUUAAAGAAAAGGUUUGUUUGUUCCUUUGAAUGGCAAACUCUGUUCACACACAUUUUCCACAUUACAGUGCUGCAGCCUUGGCACUUGGCUCUGCACCCUGUAGCCACAUGAGAAGGGAAGCAUCAGCUUAGAUCUUAAACUCUUGUUGGGGUGUCCUGUGCAGGGCCAGGAGCUGGACUCGAUGAUCCUUGUGGGUCCCUUCACUCUGUGAUUCUGCGAUUUUUAGAAUGCUUCCAAUAAAAGCUGGAGUUUCCAAAGGCAA